rnacentral:lncRNA from 1 species
GCGGUGCCUGCUCGGGGACCGGGAGCGCGACCGCUCGCUUCGGCGGCGGUGGCGGCUGUGCUUCCUGCUGGCGCUGCCCCUCCGCUCCCGGCUCCGCUCCCUCCGGUGCCUGUCUUUGCUGUGGGACCUCCGGGACCGGGUGUGGUCCGGGCUCGUGCUGCGCCGGCGGGGGCUGUCAUCCUUGUAGGCGUGCUUCUUGUGGGGCCGCCGCUCCUUGCGUGGCCUCCCGUCCUCCCUGCUGCUGGCCCGCCUGGCCCGGCUCCUCUCCCGCUUGUGCCGGUCAGCAAGCCCGUCUCCGGUGGCCCGGCCCCGGCCCUUGCUGGGCUCCCGGUUGCACUUGUCCUGUUCUGACCGGGUGUCCUUUCUGGAGACAUUCUGCU